UUCAGCUGUCAUAACGAACUAACUCCAUAAGCUGGAGAGCACUGACUAUAUUCUAGGAGUUAUCGCCACAUGGUAGCCCACAUGUUUGACCCUGAAAGCUGACACAAUGAAAACAGGAGAUCUGUCAAUGGAGAGAAGGAAAGAAAAAUCAAAUGAAGAAAACUCAGGAAAAAAAAAAAAAACAGAGGAACCAACAUGAAAGCUGGCAUCAGACUUACAAAGUAACAAGUCUGGUUUGGAGCAGGAACUCAAGAUAGAAAUGUGGGAAGCCAUCAGCACCAAGCCCAGCUCAAACCUGAAGACCAGAAUGCGAGGACCUGAGCUCAGGAUCUGCGUCUCAGACAGAUCAGCUGCCUGGCUGCAGCCACCACCCCAUGCAACAAUGGAUAGAGGACAGACGGACAGAUGGGAAGGACAGGAGGGCGCCCAAGAGAGGCUGAUGUGACAGGUGACAGGGACCCCUGAUCAUCACAAGCACUGGAAACAAUCAGUCAGCUAAUCGGGAUGCCAGGCUGCAGAGGAGGAAAGGUGUCGGGCUGAGGAAUAUGUGCAGGCCGAGGGAGUGUGCCGAGGGGAGGGAAACUAGUGAAAUCAGGCGUCUCCACACACAGUAUGUUACAGAAAUUGACCUUUAUUUGUUGUACUAAAGUCUGCUUAACUUUUGAUACAAAGUAACAUUUUAGUACAGAAAAUCCCAGUCAGAUCAGUACCUGUCUGUGCACACUGUACCAUCGCGGUCCAACUCUGUCCACAACUUAGAAAAACAGCCACCCGCCCCAGGGUAUGCGAGUAAUGCCUCAAGAAGACUACAGUUUUUCUUAGUUGUCUGAGCUAGAAAACUUGUACCUGUAAAACAAAGGACAGCAUUGAGGACUGAAACGUGUCUCUUUUUUGAACAACUGUGCAAGAAAAUAUAUCCCUUUUUUUUUAAAAAAAAAAAAAGUCAGUAAUGG